rnacentral:rRNA from 1 species
CCUACGGGGGGCAGCAGUGGGGGAUAUUGCACAAUGGGGGGAACCCUGAUGCAGCGACGCCGCGUGGGUGAAGGAGUGCUUCGGCAUGUAAAGCCCUAUCGGCAGGGAAGAAGCAAGACGGUACCUGACUAAGAAGCCCCGGCUAACUACGUGCCAGCAGCCGCGGUAAUACGUAGGGGGCGAGCGUUAUCCGGAUUCACUGGGUGUAAAGGGAGCGUAGACGGCCAUGCAAGCCAGGGGUGAAAGCCCGGGGCCCAACCCCGGGACUGCCCUUGGAACUGUUCGGCUAGAGUGCGGGAGGGGCAGGCGGAAUGCCUGGUGUAGCGGUGAAAUGCGUAGAUAUCAGGAGGAACACCGGCGGCGAAGGCGGCCUGCUGGACCGCGACUGACGUUGAGGCUCGAAAGCGUGGGGAGCGAACAGGAUUAGAUACCCCGGUAGUC